rnacentral:rRNA from 1 species
CGGACGGGUGAGUAAUGUCUGGGAAACUGCCUGAUGGAGGGGGAUAACUACUGGAAACGGUAGCUAAUACCGCAUAACGUCGCAAGACCAAAGAGGGGGACCUUGGGCCUCUUGCCAUCGGAUGUGCCCAGAUGGGAUUAGCUAGUAGGUGGGGUAACGGCUCACCUAGGCGACGAUCCCUAGCUGGUCUGAGAGGAUGACCAGCCACACUGGAACUGAGACACGGCCCAG